AUUUGUUUGAUGCAAUGAGAAGAAAUAAAGAGAGCGACUGAUCGUAACGAGGACGAAAAAGUGUCACAAGGACUUUCAGCGUUUGGGCUAUAAGAGUCAGAAGAUCGCAAUUUCCUCCUAAAAGAAGCAUGAAGGCCAACGAGUUUCUGAGUUGGACAAAGAUGAACAACCCAUGACCGAGUCUGCAUCCACCUCAUCAGGGCAGUUUGAGUUCCCACCACUUACAAGUGCUGAUGCAACAUAAGCUUGGAAGACUUCGCAUGGAUGCAGUUGUGUGACCUCAAGUAUGCAAGAAUCCAGGAGAGCAGAAAGCAGGUAAGAUGAUUUUAAUUUCAUCAAAGUAAAAGAUAUAAACAGAAAGCAGUCUUGCAUGGAGAUGUUCCCAACAUAGUUUUAACUUCGAGCACUGAGGAGUGCUCGAGUGAAACAUAA